UACGUAGGGACCAAGCGUUGUUCGGAUUUACUGGGCGUAAAGGGUGCGUAGGCGGCCCUGUAAGUCAGGAGUGAAAGUUUGCGGCUCAACCGUAAAAUUGCUUUUGAUACUGCGGGGCUAGAAUUAGGAUGAGGUCAGCGGAAUGUGGCAUGUAGCGGUGAAAUGCAUAGAUAUGCCAUAGAACACCAAUUGCGAAGGCAGCUGGCUAGACCUGGAUUGACGCUGAGGCACGAAAGCGUGGGGAGCGAACAGG
rnacentral:rRNA from 1 species